rnacentral:rRNA from 1 species
GGCGAGUGAGCGGCAAAAGCUCAAAUUUGAAAUCUGGCACCUUCGGUGUCCGAGUUGUAAUUUGAAGAUUGUAACCUUGGGGUUGGCUCUUGUCUAUGUUUCUUGGAACAGGACGUCACAGAGGGUGAGAAUCCCGUGCGAUGAGAUGCCCAAUCCUAUGUAAGGUGCUUUCGAAGAGUCGAGUUGUUUGGGAAUGCAGCUCUAAGUGGGUGGUAAAUUCCAUCUAAAGCUAAAUAUUGGCGAGAGACCGAUAGCGAACAAGUACAGUGAUGGAAAGAUGAAAAGAACUUUGAAAAGAGAGUGAAAAAGUACGUGAAAUUGUUGAAAGGGAAGGGUUUGAGAUCAGACUCGAUAUUUUGUGAGCCUUGCCUUCGUGGCGGGGUGACCCGCAGCUUAUCGGGCCAGCAUCGGUUUGGGCGGUAGGAUAAUGGCGUAGGAAUGUGACUUUGCUUCGGUGAAGUGUUAUAGCCUGCGUUGAUGCUGCCUGCCUAGACCGAGGACUGCGAUUUUAUCAAGGAUGCUGGCAUAAUGAUCCCAAACCGCCCGUCUU